GAUAAACGCUAGCGGCAGGCUUAACACAUGCAAGUCGAGGGGCAGCAUAGAUUGUAGCAAUACAAUUGGUGGCGACCGGCGCACGGGUGCGUAACGCGUAUGCAACCUACCCGUCACAGGGGGAUAAUCCGGAGAAAUCUGGUCUAAUACCCCAUAACAUAUGGAUCGGCAUCGGUUCAUGUUGAAAUUUUCGGAGGUGACGGAUGGGCAUGCGUAGCAUUAGCUUGUUAGUGAGGUAACGGCUCACCAAGGCGACGAUGCUUAGGGGGACUGAGAGGUUUUCCCCCCACACUGGUACUGAGACACGGACCGGACUCCUACGGGAGGCAGCAGUGAGGAAUAUUGGUCAAUGGGCGCAAGCCUGAACCAGCCAUGCCGCGUGCAGGAUGACGGCUCUAUGAGUUGUAAACUGCUUUUGUACGAGGGUAAAGUGGGUUACGUGUAACCUUUUGAAAGUAUCGUACGAAUAAGGAUCGGCUAACUCCGUGCCAGCAGCCGCCGUAG
rnacentral:rRNA from 1 species